rnacentral:rRNA from 1 species
AGCGCAGAGACAGGUGGUGCAUGGCUGUCGUCAGCUCGUGUCGUGAGAUGUUGGGUUAAGUCCCGCAACGAGCGCAACCCACGUCGUUAGUUGCCAGCAUUCAGUUGGGCACUCUAGCGAGACCGCCGGUGAUAAACCGGAGGAAGGUGUGGAUGACGUCAAGUCAUCAUGCCCCUUACAUCCUGGGCUACACACGUACUACAAUGCUACGGACAAAGGGUUGCAAGCUCGCGAGAGUUAGCUAAUCCCAUAAACCGUGGCUCAGUUCAGAUCGUAGGCUGCAACUCGCCUACGUGAAGGAGGAAUCGCUAGUAAUCGCAGGUCAGCAUACUGCGGUGAAUACGUUCCCGGGCCUUGUACACACCGCCCGUCACACCAUGGAAGUGGCCACGCCCG